rnacentral:tRNA from 1 species
GUAAAUAUAGUUUAAUAAAACAUUAGAUUGUGAAUCUAAAGAUAGAGGCUAACCCCUCUUAUUUACC